CGGCUCUGCCCCUGUGGUGGGCGUGCUAAGCCCCGUGUCCCCUUAGGCACCCGAGUGUACAGCCACCCGGAGUGGAUCCGCUACCACCGCUACCGGGGCGCUCGGCCACCGUGUGGUCCCUGGGCGUGCUGCUCUAUGACAUCGUGUGUCUGCUCUAUGACAUCCCCUUCGAGCAGGACGAGGAGAUCCUCCGCGGCCGCCUGCUCUUCCGGAGGAGGGUCUCCCCAGGUGCUGCCUAGCAGCUGAUCCAGUGGUGCCUGUCUCUGCAGGCCCUCAGAGCAGCCAUCGCUGGACCAGAUUGCGGCCCAUCCCUGGAUGUUGGGGGUUGACGGGGUCGCCCCGGAUAGCUGUGACCUGCGGCUGUGCACCCUCGACCCUGAUGACGCGGCCAGCACCACGUCCAGCAGCGAGAGCUUGUGAGGAGCUACACCUGACUGGGAGCUAGGGGACCACCUGCCUUGGCCAAACCUGGGACGCCCCCAGACCCUGACUUUCUCUUGCGUGGGCCGUCUCCUCCUGCGGAAGCAGUGAUCUCUGACCCCUGGUGACCUUCGCUUUGAGUGCCUUUUGAACGCUGGUCCUGCGGGACUUGGUUUUCUCAAGCUCUGUCUGUCCAAAGACGCUUCGGUCGAGGUCCCGCCUGCCCUGGGUGGAUACUUGAACCCCAGACGCCCCUCUGUGCUGCUCUGUCCGGAGGCGGCCUUCCAUCUGCCUGCCGACCCGGAGCUCUUUCCGCCGGCGCAGGGUCCCCAGCCCACCUCCUGCCCUAAGUCCUGCGGUGUGCGUCUGGGCGCAUCCUGCACACACAAUGCGAGUCCGGGCCUCUGGGCCCGCCCGCCCACGCGAGCCGUACCUGCCGCCAACUCUGUUAUUUAUGGUG